AUGGAGGAAGCGAAGAAAGAUCUUUAUGAAGGAUGUAGUGAUUUCACACGGCUGUCGUUCAUUAUUAAGCUCCUCCAUAUCAAAUCAUACAACCGGAUUACAAAUAGAGCAUUUAAUCAGUUUGUUGAGUUGAUUAGUGUGGCGUUUCCACAUGCUGAUAUACCUAAAUCAUACACUGAAGCUAAGAAUGUUCUUAGUGAAGUUGGGCUGGGUUACAAGACAAUUCAUGUUUGCAAGUUUGAUUGUGCAUUGUUUUGGGGCCAACAUGCCAACAAGAGUCAUUGUCCUGAAUGCGGGACAUCAAGAUGGAAAGACGAGGUGGGGAGGAAAAAGAUACCUCACAAGGUACUUAGGUACUUUCCUAUCAUCCCAAGGCUUCAAAGAUUUUUUGUGUCAAAGGAACAAUCAGCAGAUGCAAGGUGGCAUAAGGAGAAGAGGGUUGCUGAGGCAAAUGUUAUGAGACACCCUGCUGAUGGUGAAGCAUGGAAGCACUUUGAUAGUGAGUUCGCUUGGUUUGCUAAGGAUGCCCGUAAUAUGAAUCUUGGUAUUGCCAUGGAUGGAUUCAACCCCUUUGGAAACAUGACGAGUUCAUAUAGUAUGUGGCCUGUUUUUAUCAUCCCCUACAACUUCCCACCCUGGAUGUGCAUGGACCAAUCUAAUUUCAUGAUGUCUUUG
rnacentral:rRNA from 1 species